CCUACGGGAGGCAGCAGUGAGGAAUAUUGGUCAAUGGGCGCGAGCCUGAACCAGCCAAGUCGCGUGAGGGAAGACGGUCCUAUGGAUUGUAAACCUCUUUUGUCGGGGAGCAAAAGACGCCACGCGUGGCGUUACGAAAGUACCCGAAGAAAAAGCAUCGGCUAACUCCGUGCCAGCAGCCGCGGUAAUACGGGGGAUGCGAGCGUUAUCCGGAUUUAUUGGGGUUAAAGGGUGCGCAGGCGGAAGAGCAAGUCAGCGGUAAAAUUGGGGGGCUCAACCUCUUCUAGCCGUUGAAACUGGUGUUCUUGAGUGAGUGAGAAGUAUGCGGAAUGCGUGGUGUAGCGGUGAAAUGCAUAGAUAUCACGCAGAACUCCGAUUGCGAAGGCAGCAUACCGGCGCUCAACUGACGCUCAUGCACGAAAGUGUGGGUAUCGAACAGGAUUAGAUACCCUGGUAGUC
rnacentral:rRNA from 1 species